rnacentral:rRNA from 2 species
UGGAUGAUGUGGAUUAAUUCGAUGCAACGCGAAAACCUUACCUACCCUUGACAUGUCUGGAAGGCCGAAGAGAUUUGGCUGUGCUCGCAAGAGAACCGGAACACAGGUGCUGCAUGGCUGUCGUCAGCUCGUGUCGUGAGAUGUUGGGUUAAGUCCCGCAACGAGCGCAACCCUUGUCAUUAGUUGCUACGAAAGGGCACUCUAAUGAGACUGCCGGUGACAAACCGGAGGAAGGUGGGGAUGACGUCAAGUCCUCAUGGCCCUUAUGGGUAGGGCUUCACACGUCAUACAAUGGUCGGGACAGAGGGUCGCCAACCCGCGAGGGGGAGCCAAUCCCAGAAACCCGAUCGUAGUCCGGAUUGCAGGCUGCAACUCGCCUGCAUGAAGUCGGAAUCGCUAGUAAUCGCGGAUCAGCAUGUCGCGGUGAAUACGUUCCCGGGUCUU